GUGACAUACCUAUAACUGUUGCUUCGGCGGGUAGGGUCUCCGUGACCCUCCCGGCCUCCCGCCCCCGGGCGGGUCGGCGCCCGCCGGAGGAUAACCAAACUCUGAUUUAACGACGUUUCUUCUGAGUGGUACAAGCAAAUAAUCAAAACUUUUAACAACGGAUCUCUUGGUUCUGGCAUCGAUGAAGAACGCAGCGAAAUGCGAUAAGUAAUGUGAAUUGCAGAAUUCAGUGAAUCAUCGAAUCUUUGAACGCACAUUGCGCCCGCCAGCAUUCUGGCGGGCAUGCCUGUUCGAGCGUCAUUUCAACCCUCAAGCUCUGCUUGGUGUUGGGGCCCUACAGCUGAUGUAGGCCCUCAAAGGUAGUGGCGGACCCUCCCGGAGCCUCCUUUGCGUAGUAACUUUACGUCUCGCACUGGGAUCCGGAGGGACUCUUGCCGUAAAACCCCCAAUUUUCCAAAGGUUGACCUCGGAUCAGGUAGGAAUACCCGCUGAACUUAAGCAUAUCAUA
rnacentral:rRNA from 1 species